GACGAACGCUGGCGGCGCGCUUAAUACAUGCAAGUCAAGCGAGAACCGGAGCUUCGGCUCCGGGGACAGCGGCGAACGGGUGAGUAACACGUGGGUAACCUGCCCUCGGCACCGGGAUAGCCCGGGGAAACCCGGAUUAAUACCGGAUGGCCCUUUCGGUCUUCGGACCGGUCGGCAAAGGUAGCUUCGGCCUCCGGCCGAGGAUGGGCCCGCGGCGGAUUAGCUUGUUGGUGAGGGAACGGCUCACCAAGGCUCCGAUCCGUAGCUGGUCGGAGAGGACGAUCAGCCACACUGGGACUGAGACACGGCCCAGACUCCUACGGGAGGCAGCAGUAGGGAAUCUUGCGCAAUGGGCGAAAGCCUGACGCAGCGACGCCGCGUGCGGGAAGACGGCCUUCGGGUUGUAAACCGCUUUCAGGAGGGACGAAGCCACUCGGGUGAAUAGCCCAGAGGGUGACGGUACCUCCAGAAGAAGCCCCGGCUAACUACGUGCCAGCCGCCGCCGUAA
rnacentral:rRNA from 1 species